ACGCCAUGCAUGUCUAAGUAUAAGCACUUUAUACUGUGAAACUGCGAAUGGCUCAUUAAAUCAGUUAUAGUUUAUUUGAUAAUACCUUACUACUUGGAUAACCGUGGUAAUUCUAGUGCUAAUACAUGCUUUAAGCCCCGACUUCUGGAAGGGGUGUAUUUAUUAGAUAAAAAACCAAUCGUAGCAAUACGUUUACUGGUGAAUCAUGAUAACUAUUCGAAUCGCAUAGCUCUGCUGGCGAUGGUUCAUUCAAAUUUCUGCCCUAUCACCUUUCGAUGGUAGUAUAGAGGACUACCAUGGGUAUAACGGGUAACGGAGAAUUAGGGUUCGAUUCCGGAGAGGGAGCCUGAGAAACGGCUACCACGUCCAAGGAAGGCAGCAGGCGCGCAAAUUACCCAAUCCCGAUACGGGGAGGUAGUGACAAUAAAUAACAAUACAGAGCUUUUCAAGUUUUGUAAUUGUAAUGAGAACAAUUUAAACCUCUUAACGAGAACCAAUUGGAGGGCAAGUCUGGUGCCAGCAGCCGCGGUAAUUCCAGCUCCAAUAGCGUAUAUUAAAGUUGUUGCAGUUAAAAAGCUCGUAGUUGAACUUUGGCCUUGGCUGGGCGGUCUACUCAUUGAGUAGUACUUCUCUGGCUGAGGCUUUCCUUCUGGCGAACUAUUGUGCUAUUUGUUUAGUGCGAUAGGGAACCAGGACUUUUACUUUGAAAAAAUUAGAGUGUUUAAAGCAGGCUUACGCUUGAAUACAUUAGCAUGGAAUAAUAAAGUAGGACUUUGGUUUUAUUUUGUUGGUUUUCGAAACCGAAGUAAUGAUUAAUAGGGAUAGUUGGGGGCAUUCGUAUUUAGCCGUCAGAGGUGAAAUUCUUGGAUUGGCUAAAGACGAACUUCUGCGAAAGCAUUUGCCAAGGAUGUUUUCAUUAAUCAAGAACGAAAGUUAGGGGAUCGAAGACGAUCAGAUACCGUCGUAGUCUUAACCAUAAACUAUGCCGACUAGGGGAUCGGACAAU
rnacentral:rRNA from 1 species